CGCAGGGUGAAUCGACACGACACACCGUCAGGCUCAUAACCUGAAGGUCCUAGGUUCAAAUCCUAGCCCCGCAACCA
rnacentral:tRNA from 1 species